UACGGAGGAUGCGAGCGUUAUCCGGAUUUAUUGGGUUUAAAGGGUGCGUAGGCGGAAUAUCAAGUCAGCGGUAAAAAUUCGGGGCUCAACCCCGUCGUGCCGUUGAAACUGAUGUUCUUGAGUGGGCGAGAAGUAUGCGGAAUGCGUGGUGUAGCGGUGAAAUGCAUAGAUAUCACGCAGAACUCCGAUUGCGAAGGCAGCAUACCGGCGCCCAACUGACGCUGAAGCACGAAAGCGUGGGUAUCGAACAGG
rnacentral:rRNA from 1 species